CUGAUGCGUUGUUGGGUAGGGGAGCGUUCUGUAAGCCUGCGAAGGUGGCCUGUGAGGGUUGCUGGAGGUAUCAGAAGUGCGAAUGCUGACAUAAGUAACGAUAAAGCGGGUGAAAAGCCCGCUCGCCGGAAGACCAAGGGUUCCUGUCCAACGUUAAUCGGGGCAGGGUGAGUCGACCCCUAAGGCGAGGCCGAAAGGCGUAGUCGAUGGGAAACGGGUUAAUAUUCCCGUACUUGGUGUUACUGCGAAGGGGGGACGGAGAAGGCUAUGUUGGCCGGGCGACGGUUGUCCCGGUUUAAGCGUGUAGGUGUGUGUUCCAGGUAAAUCCGGUUCACUUUAACACUGAGGCGUGAUGACGAGGCACUACGGUGCUGAAGCAACAAAUGCCCUG
rnacentral:rRNA from 1 species